CACCGCGGUUAUACGAGAGGCUCAAGUUGACAGACAACGGCGUAAAGAGUGGUUAAGGAAAAUAUUCAACUAAAGCGGAACACCCUCAUAGCUGUUAUACGCUUUCGAGGACAUGAACUCCAACUACGAAGGUGGCUUUACAUUACCUGAACCCACGAAAGCUAAGAAA
rnacentral:rRNA from 2 species